AUCUAAUUCUGUACAAAUAUAACGCGGCGUGACGAUGCUGAUCGGUCUGGUUCGCGAUUCUGUGCUGCAAUGCUUUUGCCACAGCUGCAAAGCCCCUUUGGGGUUGGUUGCUGCAAGCCAACGGCGUGGUGCGCCGAUCACGAAGAAGCCGGCCGGCAAAGGGAAACCACGCACGAAACAACCGAAAAAAGUCAAAUUUAUCACGACUGAGAUUCGAUGCCAGGAGAAAUCUAAGGGCGGCUUAUGCUAUGAAGUGAUUUUGGCUGAGCCGACAGUCCCAAAACGGACUUCCUCACCACCGCAGCCAAGUCCGACUCAGCAAGUAGCGAUAGAAGACAAGCUGAGAGCAGCCGAAGAAAGGCGACUCUCGCUGGAGGCCCACAAAUUGGCUGCUCUUGCGACAAAGCUUGGAAAAAUUGAGGAGGCAUCUCGCAAAAAGGACGAGCUCAGCGCUGCCUUCAUUUCUCAGACCCGCGAGGCUCUUGAUGCUAAAAUGACCAACACCGAGGAAAAACGAGAGGCUCACAUCGCCGACCUUAAGAGCAAGCUGAAGGAACAUUUGGAGAGUGUGGAAAAGACUCGCCUCAGUUUGGAGCAGCAAACAGAGGAAGUUCGAUGCGCGGUUGAAGAAAAGCUCAAGACUGCCGCAGCUCAGCGUGACGAAAAUAUUAAGAAGAUGCUCGAUCGCCUGAAGGAACAUGAGGACCAAGUUGUUCGCGUACGGACUGGAAUGUCAGAGCGAGUGCAGCAGCUCGAAUCCCAGAUUCAAGGCAAAUUGGAUCAAGCACGCGAGCGGCGUGAGACAAUAGAGCGCGAGCAGAAGGAAAAGCUGCGUAAUCAUGUAAGUUUAACGGCUGACGAGUUAUUUUUAAUUAAGAUGCAUGUGUACUUGAAAUGUACAUAUAUAACAAGAGAGAUUUUUCGGAAGUGCGUCAAGUAGCCGAGGUCUUUGCGCUGAAGGCACUCGAGGCUAAAGAGCGAGAGCUCGCCAUGAGGCUGACUGCUGCUGAAAUCAACCGGCAGCGAGAGAUUCAGCGUCGUGUUCAGGCCAUUCGCCAGCAUGAGAGGCGUGCUGAGAUAGUGAGGCAGAACAAAGCAGCACUUGCUGGACAAGAAUCAAAGACAGGGGAUCAGCCAAGCUCGCCGGUGGAAAAGGAGACAGCCAGCUCUGGUUAAAUUUCCUUCUUCCCUUUCUCAUUUAAUAAUAAACAUCAUUUUCCAACGUUCUAUACAUAUAUUUUGCUAGGGCGUAACGAUUGUUCCCGUCAUGAUGUGCGUAGCGAAUUCGUACUGAUACACUGAAGAGGAUUCAUUACAUGUAAACGAAUGAGGAGGCUUUGGGCGACGUUCGAAUCUUGUGACAAAUAUUUACAGACGAUUCGACGCGUUGAUGGAUUACAAUUUUCUUCUUUUCAACUUCACUUCGCGUUACAUGUUAGUCUGUUUCAUUUUUCUAUCAAAAAAUUACGCUUUAAUUUUUUCAACCGUCGCCUGGAUUAUCAUUAUUUUUUUUUUUUUUUUUCUUUUUUCUUCUAGUACCGAAUUAUUCAGUCUAAGUUAUUGAAAAAUAUAUCACGAUGACUAUCUAGCCGUUGAUAUAAUUUUUAAAUAUAGUCACUUAUUUUUCAUUUUCACUUUUAUGUAUUUUUAUUUAUUUUUCUUUUACCUUUAAUCGUGUUCUAUUCAGUGAUUUAAAUAUAAAAAAUGAAAAGGCCACGUGAAAAUUAAGAAGGACUUCAGUAAAUAUCCUCUGCGUAACAAAGUAACGAGAUAAUCGCCUGCGAAAUAUAUAUGGAAUCGCUAUUAAUAACUAUUAAAAUAACAGUUUAAUUUUUAUGCUUGUGACAAAAUGAAACUUAUUCACAAAA